rnacentral:rRNA from 1 species
GAGUUUGAUCCUGGCUCAGAAUGAACGUUGGCGGCGUGGAUUAGGCAUGCAAGUCGUGCGGAAAGGCCCCGCAAGGGGUACUCGAGCGGCGAAAGGGAUAGUAACACGUAGGUACCCACCCUUGGGACGCGGAUAGCCGGGGGAAACUCCGAUUAAUACGCGAUGACGUCUUCGGACCAAAGGUGUGAUUCCGCCUGAGGACGGGCCUGCGUCUUAUCAGCUUGUUGGUGAGGUAACGGCUCACCAAGGCAACGACGAGUAGCGGGUGUGAGAGCACGACCCGCAUCACUGGGACUGAGAUACUGCCCAGACACCUACGGGUGGCUGCAGUCGAGAAUCUUCGGCAAUGGGCGAAAGCCUGACCGAGCGACGCCGCGUGCGGGAUGAAGGCCCUCGGGUUGUAAACCGCUGUCAGUGGGGAGGAAGUCUAGUGGGGAUCACCCCAUUAGUUGACCUAUCCGCAGAGGAAGGACGGGCUAAGUUCGUGCCAGCCGCCGCGUAAUUC